CCUACGGGAGGCUGCAGUGAGGAAUAUUGGUCAAUGGGCGGAAGCCUGAACCAGCCAAGUAGCGUGCAGGAUGACGGCCCUACGGGUUGUAAACUGCUUUUAUACGGGAAUAACGCGCCUUACGUGUAGGGCUUUGCAUGUACCAUAUGAAUAAGGACCGGCUAAUUCCGUGACAGCAGCCGCGGUAAUACGGAAGGUCCGGGCGUUAUCCGGAUUUAUUGGGUUUAAAGGGAGCGUAGGCCGCAUGUCAAGCGUGCUGUGAAAUGUCCGGGCUCAACCCGGGCCUUGCAGCGAGAACUGGCGUGCUUGAGUCCGCGGAAAGCAGGCGGAAUGCGUCGUGUAGCGGUGAAAUGCUUAGAUAUGACGAAGAACCCCGAUUGCGAAGGCAGCUUGCUGCAGCGGAACUGACGCUGAUGCUCGAAAGCGCGGGUAUCGAACAGGAUUAGAUACCCCUGUAGUC
rnacentral:rRNA from 1 species